AAUAGUCUUGAUGUCAGAACAUUUAAUCUCUCCUGGAAUGCAGAAGUGUGGCCCAACAGGAUCUUCUAAGCCUUUGCAACACAAAGUUUGAUUCCCAGCAAGAUAGCAUCAACCUCAUCUGGAGCUUGUUAGAAAUGCAGAAUCUUGGCCCCACCCUAGAACUACUGGAUCAGAAUUUACAUUUUAGCAAGAUCUCCAGGGGAUCUGAAUUUCUGGAAACAAAUGGCUUCCCAAAACCCUCUAAGCCAAGAGUGUGUUGACCUUGGUGAUGCUGACCUUCAGAGAGCAGAGGAUAGAAAGGACCAGCAACUGCCCCACAGGAGGUCAGUAAAAGAGUCACCAUACCCUCUUCCCUAGUUAGAGUACAGAAGGACAAAGCUUGAAUUACACAAAGAAUGGAGAGCUGGGUCUCCUCCAGGGAUGCAGGUCAGGCCAGUGUGGAGCCUGCUGCCUUCAGUUCAGACCCAGCAAUCCCAGUUCAGUCUUUCCCUGAGGAGGAAACAUCGCCCCUAAGGAACUGCUGGCCCACUGGGCAGAAUGCAUUGCCCCAAGCAGCUGGCAUUGCUGUGGGAAGGGAAGAUAUCCAAAAUCUGUUGAGUAUUGACUCUGUUCUGGGCAUUAAGCUAAGCUCUUCACAGACAUAUCUCAUUUAAUCUUCUCAUUAGCACCGUUAUAUAGAAAUUACGAUCUCGGUUUUGCAGAUGAGGAAAAUGUGUCUCAAGGACAUUAAGUAUCCUGUCCAAGGUGACUGCAGCCACUAAGAGGAAAACCCAUCCCAGACUCCCAUUUUGCAGCUCCUUGCUUUGACCCAAGCUCAAGUGUUCAUGCUUUUGGGGGAACUUUUUUCUUAUUCUGAAGGCACUAGAGCUCCUGACAUUAAUGCAAGAACUCGCUUCCCAGUUCCUGAGCUUUCACAGUUGAACAGCCUUCGGUAUCUUUGAAGUCUGAGGUCUGGCUGGGGAUGGAGGUCAGGGAGAGACCAGUCAUGGUGCCCGAGAGUCUGCUGGGAUCACUGCAGAUGCCCCAUUGGUUACCCCACAAGUCCUUGAGGAGUCAGAACUGAACAGAGCCCCUCUCUUGCACUCUUGGGCUCUGAUGUCCAGGGCUCUGAUGGGGUGGCAUCCCUGGGAGGUCCACGUGUGACUCCUCUGGCUCUGCUAUCAUGCAGGGAGGAGAUCAGAGCAAAUAUAGGGUGGAGGGGUGGCAAACUCACUUACAUGGAAAAAAAUAAAAAUCCAGAGCAAAGAAGGCACUUGGACAGGGAUUCUUGGGUAAAUGCCCACACAGAAGUAUGGGGUAUGCAUAACAAUCCUUUGUCCACUAAAGAAGUGAGAUUUAACAUUGCUUUUGUCAUGGGCCUGGUGCUCCUAGUGGAGCCAGCAUUUACCUGGUUUUCUGUCUCCCUGUCCAUAUUCCCCUGGAGGUACUGGUCUUACGCUGACAUGGGAGAGCUAUAUCCAACAUCAGUCCUGCCAUAGGGAACUAAGAAUAGAGGAAUGACACUUGGGCUCAAAGGUAUUUUAAAGCUUAGAAAUUCCUGAAGGAUUGCCCAACCCAAGCUUCUCAUUUUAGGAAUAACUGGAGACCAGAGAGGCAAAGUGACUCCUGAGGUCAUGCAGUGAGGUGAUGGCUGAGCCAGGACUAUGUCCCCCAUUGCUGUACCCCCACCCCUCUGUUAAUGAUCCUGUGAAGGGAUGAGUAGACAUACAGACAAAGGGAGUUUCUACGAUGAUAAGUAUUUCUUUUUUCUUUUUUUGAGACGGGGUCUCGCCCUGUCACCCAGGCUGGGGUCCAGGGGUACAAUCAUGGCUCACUGCAGCCUCAACCUCCUGGGCUCAAGUGAUCCUCCUGCUUCAGCCUCCUGAGUAGCUGGGACCACAGGCAUGUGCCACCAUGCCUGGCUAAUUUUCUAAAAUCUUUUUUGUAGAGACAAUGUCUCACUAUGUUGUCCAGGGUGUUCUCAAAUUCCCGGCCUCCAGUGAUCCUCCUGCCCUGGCCUCCCAAAGUGCUGGGAUUACAGGUGUGAGCCCACCAUGCCUGGCCUAAGAUGUUAAGUAUUUAGACUCAGAACACCUCUCUCAGCCAGCCUGAAUCUGGGUCUUGUCCUCAGUUCCCCACAUUAAAUCAUGUCCCUUUCUCCUCUUAGGGCGGCACUGGUGGGACUGGCCACCCACCGCCUCCCCUGCAGCCUCUGUAGUUCUGCUUUCUGUUCCUUUUCGGUGUCUGUCCCCACCACCACAACUGGCCCACCCUCCCUCUUUCCUUCCUUCUGUGUCCUGCUGCGGUCUUCCCACUGGCUCCCUGCAUGCCACCACCUGCUCUGUUGGGGGAGAGAUGGGCAGGGUCUGGCGGCCGGGUAGCCUCCAGAGCAGGAUCAGGGCUGCAGCUGAGGCAGAAUGUCAGACAUGCUGUGAUGCCACCAGCAUCUGCCCCAGGGGCUCUGGUGCUCCUAUUGACUCAGAACUGAGAGGCUGGAUUCAUACUCCCUUUGCCCCAGCCACCACCACAGAGUCCUGUACUGUCCUUCCAGCCAUCCCUUCCCAUUCCCAGACCCCCUGGUCUGGAUCAGCUUUCGUCUUUCCAUGCCUGAGUUCCUAAACACCAACCUCAUCAGCUCCCCAUCUCAGCUUGUCACUGGAGCCUGCGGUGUCCACUAUGGCUGGAGCCCCCACUGGCCGGCAGCACAUCAGAUUUGUGUGAGCGCUCAGCAGAAUCUCCUGUCCCUCUCCAGCCCAGCGCAUUCAUUCUGCACACAUCUGCCUCUAAGCCCUGCUUCUGGGGCUGACACAUAAGCCCCUCUCUCAGAUGAUGGAGGAAGACACACUCCUUCAUCCUUAUUCUCUCACCCAAAUCCUGCUCAUCCUUCAAGGCCCCAUUCGGCCCCACCUCGGGCACAUGGCCUCAUGCAAGUUUUUGGCUGUCACUGGGCACACCUUUCUCUGAACUUUCCCCGCUCCUGGCAAUGAUUCCAGGUGUGGGGACAUUUCUCAGAAAACUACAUGGCCCUGAGUUUUCCCAGUCUCAUGUGGUCAUUCUUCUGGCCCUUAGUCUUUAUUUGUAUUAUGAAGUGUGGCUUGGUGAGAAGACCUUGGACUCUGAGGUCCUUUAGGCCUGGGUUGGAAUCCUGGCUUUGCUCCCUAAGCACUGUGUGAACUUGGAACAGUUUUGUAAUUUGAGUGAGCCUCCAAUUUCUGACCUGGGGAUAAGAAUACCUAUCCUUUAGAUUGUUCUGAGAAUUGCAGAGACUGUAAAUUCAUUGUAAUAGCUAACAUUCAUUGAGCCCUUUACUCUAUGUCAGAUACUCUUCUAAGCACGAUUAAUAAUGUCCAUUUUAGCAAAGGGGAAGCUGAGGCCCAGAGGUGAAGCAAUUCAGCUAAGAUCUCACUCCUAGAAAAUGGCAGAAUAAGGAUUCUAAGUUAGGCAGUCUGACCCCAGAGCUUAAGCCCAAAUGUGGGCCGCUGUGGCCAUUCUCACAUCUCCUUGUGUCUGGUGCUGUGCCCACAGGCUGGGGAGGGCUACAUGAAUCUUAAAACCUGGGUCAGGCAAAGGGAGGAGUCCCUCUAUUGUGUGGCAUGGGAUUAUGACAUGGUAAAUGGAGCAUAAGCCCCAAACCAGGUAAACCACACCAUAGGAAAGGCUUUAACUGACAAGAGGGCCCGCCCAGGAUCUCAGCUUCCUGGCAGAGACCAUGGAAUCACACAAACAAAAUCAAUCCACCUGGCCCACAUGAAGCUUGAACUUCUCCCCCAAAUUUUACUCACUACAAUAGAGGCUUUCUUGGAUCCAUGCCUUUGUGGUAGCCAUAGUGUGUGAUUGACGUGGGAGUAAAUUAGAAUCAGUGGUGUUUUGAGUGUUAAUUGAGGCAUUCUUUGCAAUGCUCAAGAUGACGGUAACAUUACUAAAGCAUUACUGUGUGCCAGGCUUUGCUAAGAGCUUCAGAUGUAUUUUAUUAUUUGAUUCUCACAAAAAUAUGAUACAGGCACUGUUCUUAUCCUUGCUUUACGGGUGAGGAAAUGAAGCUUUAAACAAUAUUAAAUUAUUGGUCCAAGACCAAGCAGCUUGUAAAGGUCAGAGCCAGGAUUUGAACCUAGAAAGCCUGGCUCUAAACUACCACCUGUGCACUUUGGGAAGCUCCCUGAGAUACUGGAAAACUGACUACUGUUUUGGACCUAAUACCUCGGACUCCCAUGCUUUUUAGUCUUGGCAAUUGCCUGCAAGACUGUAACUUUAUGAAUAUGAUGCUGUGAGUUGCACUUGGGACCUGAAGUAGAUAGUCUAGCUAGGAAUCGAUGGGGCACCAACAAACAACCUCUAUCCCAUACUGUAUGAUGCUUUUCUCUCUUUUCUGUCUCCAUGUGCCAAGAUGUCUGGAUUGGGUCAUUCUCGUUUCACCAAGGUUUUAUCUAAGUGCUCAGCAGAGGGCUAAGUGGCUCAGAUGAGAUUUCAGCUGCAGGAGCCAACACAGCCUGGCUUCCAACCCAGCUCCCAAACUCACUAGCCAAGUAGCCUCAGGCAGGUUUUACAACCUCUUUCAAAACCAAGUUUCUCCACUGUAAAAUAGAGAUAAAAAUAACACCUACCACAUAGUGCUGUUAUAAGAAUACACUUUUAUAACACUUAGCCUGGCACCCAGCACAUAGGAAGUGUUCAGUAAAUGGAAUCUAUUGUUGCUAUCCUAAUGUUCCUUUGUUUGAGUCAUUUAUUAGUUCACACAUUUAUUAAUACAUUAAUUACAAAUGCAAAAUUCUGUCCAGAUGCAAAGAUAAAUUAGAUAGGCCUUAUUUUCAGUACAGAGAGACAUGAACAACUUAAUCACAGCACAGGACAGAACGAAGUACAUGUGACAUCACGGUGCCACCAGCUUCCAAGAGGGCCCAGAAAAAGAAGUGAUUGAUUAUGACAAGAGACUGUGGUAGACUUUGUGGAGGAGGAGUGAUAGGGAUUUCCAUGGAAGAAAGAAGAUGGGCUGCAGGAACGGCACGAGCAGAGCAGAGAAUCAGCAAAGUGCACAACGGGAGGAGGAAGCUGUCUGGUGUUACUGUUAGUGAGCGUGGGAGCCUGCCGCAAGAAGUCGGUGGUGGGACAGAAGGCAGAGGCAUUGGAAUGUGUUGCCACAGAACCUCUACUUGAUUCCAUAGGGAGUCACUGAUGACUCUUAAGGAAAGGAACAGCAUAAUCCAAACUUUAUUUUAAUAAAAUAACUACAAACGGUAGGAUGGAUGGAUUGGAGAAGAAAGAUAAUGGAGACAGGGACACUAGUUAGAUGGCUAAUGCACUACUUUCACCAGUGACUGAUCAUAAAAUAGGCCCCCACUCACUGAGAAAGGGUGGAGCAAAUGCAGUUAUCCAGGCAGGGAAGUGGGUUUCAUAAAGGCAUUUUAUAAGGGUUUCUAUUUAAAUGGUUGUUACAAAAACUCUUGCCAUCUUAAGUGUUGAUCUUCAGUGAUCCCCAGACUUAAGGUAUUAGAAACACAUUGACCAGAUGCAGUGGCUUAUGCCUGUAAUCCCAGCACUUUUGAAGGCAGAGGCAGGUGAGUCAUUUGAACCCAGGAGUUCAAGACCAGCCUGGGCAACAUGGCAAAACCCCAUCUCUACAAAAAAUACAAAAGUUAGCUGGGCAUGGUGGCACGUGCCAGUUACUCAGGAGGCUGAGGUAGCAGGAUCGCUUGCACCAAGGAGGUUGAGGCUGCAGUAAGCCAUGAUUGUGCCACUGCACUCCCACCUGGGCAACACAGUGAGACUCUGUCUCAAAAAAAAAAAAAAAGACUAGAAAAGAAAAAGAAACAUACUCCCCCAUUGUGCCAGGUAAUCAUAUUGGGAAGAGGAUUUAUUCACCCAAUCUUCUAGAGUUUCUUGGCCAACCCCAGUGAUUGCAGUACACUCUAAUUCAGCAUUAGUCAACCCAAAGAAUAAUGUAAGAAUUCUUUUCUGUUCACGUCAAAGUGUGACCCAUGUUUGGCUUGUAGAGUGAGGCUCUUUCUUAGCACCUAUCAUGUUUUUCCCAAAAGAGGGUGCUGCUGCCGCCAUUGCUUAAAAUGUGGCCACUCCGAUCCCACAGUAUCCUUCCUGACCCCAUUUCACCUCUGCAAUUCCUUGCUGGUGCCUCUGGAGACCCCAAAUGUUUGACUCUCUGGAGUCCGGUGGUCUGCUGUGGCAGGGGUAGAAAUAGCAAAAACAUAAAAAUAAAACUAGAAAAUGUUCUGUUGAGGUUCUGGGAAAUUUAGGAACAUCCACUGGAUCCUCUGUGGCAGUGGCUGCUCAGCGGGGCAGGAGGGAGCUGGGACCCUCUGUGGUGCUGUCAUGGAGCCACUCUGCCACAUGGGCCUGUGUCUGCUUGAUUCCUACACAGCAGAGUGAAUCCCAUUUAACCUCUAAGGUCAGUUUAUGUGAUAGGCUAGAUGCUAAGUUUCUCAUACUCUAAAUGUGUUUUGGAGGGAAAGGGGUCAAAUAUUCGCCUGGGCUGUCAUAAUUCAGACUUAUUUUAUUCUACAAGCUCAUAAACUACUUAAGGGCCACAACCUGUCAUAUCCAUUUUUCUAUGCCCAUGCAGAGCCCAGGACGGCACCUCCUGCCCCUGGAGCGAGGCAGCACCAUGUGGGGGCUCAGCGCAUGCCCGUGGAAGGCAACCUGUAGGGUUCAACUCCUGGCUCUGCCAUUUAUUACACUAUCUGACCUUGGGCAUGUGACUUAUCUGCUCUAGGCCUCAGUUUCCUCACAAGGUUUAGGUGAUUUUUUUUUUUUUUUU